rnacentral:rRNA from 1 species
CAUCUAAGUAGGGCGAGGAAGAGAAAUCAAACGAGAUUCCGCUAGUAGUGGCGAGCGAACGCGGAAGAGGCCAAACCGAUCGAAGCAAUUUGGUCGGGGUAAGGACUGCGACAUGUAGUGUGAAAGAUAGCUGAAUGCUCUGGGAAGGGCAGCGAAACAGGGUGAGAGCCCCGUAAGCGACAUCGGAAACACGCUAGCAGUAUCCAGAGUACCACAGGACACGAGGAACCCUGUGGGAAUACGGGUGGACCAUCAUCCAAGCCUAAAUACUACCUGGUGACCGAUAGAGAAGCAGUACCGUGAGGGAAAGGUGAAAAGGACCCCGGGAGGGGAGUGAAAGAGAACCUGAAACCUUGUGCUUACAAACAGUCAAAGGCCUACGGGCUGAUGGCGUACUUUUUGUAGAACGGUCCGGCGAGUUACUAAUGCCAGCGAGGUUAAGUGGUCAGAAGCCACGGAGCCGAAGGGAAACCAAGUCUGAAUAGGGCGUAGAGUUGGUAUUAGUAGACCCGAAACCGGGUGACCUAUCCAUGUCCAGGUUGAAGGAACCGUAAAAGGUUUUGGAGGACCGAACACACAUGUGUUGAAAAACGUGGUGAUGAGGUGUGGAUAGCGGAGAAAUUCCAAUCGAACUCGGAGAUAGCUGGUUCUCCUCGAAAUAGCUUUAGGGCUAGCCUCGAGCUGGAGUCUAACGGAGGUAAAGCACUGAACUGACGCGGGGCCCAAAAAGGUUACCAACUCAUAUCAAACUAAGAAUGCCGUCAAGAUACCCUCGGGAGUCAGUCUGCGUGAGAUAAGUCGCGUGGACAAAAGGGAAAGAGCCCAGACCGACAGCUAAGGUCCCAAAGUACGUGUUAAGUGGAAAAGGAUGUGGGAUUUCAAAGACAACUAGGAUGUUGGCUUAGAAGCAGCCAUACAUUUAAAGAGUGCGUAAUAGCUCACUAGUCGAGAAAACCUGCGCCGAAAAUGUAACGGGGCUAAAACACGACACCGAAGCUACGGAUUUCCUACAAGGUAGGAAGUGGUAGAGGAGCAUCCUGCAAGGACGAAGCCAAAGUGAGAGCGAUGGUGGACGAAACAGGAGAGAGAAUGCCGGAAUGAGUAGCGAGAUACAUGUGAGAAACAUGUAGGCCGAAUAUCUAAGGAUUCCUGGGUAAAGCUAAUCUUCCCAGGGUUAGUCGGGGCCUAAGGCGAGGACGAAAGUCGUAGUCGAUGGAUAACAGGUUGAUAUUCCUGUACUACACAUAAUCAGAACUGUGGGGACGCAGGAGGAUAGGGAAACCGGGGAAUGGAAAGACCCGGUCAAGCGUAAAGCUGUGGGAGAUAGGCAAAUCCGUCUCCUGUAAGUGAAACGUGAUGAGGACUGAAAAAAAGUAAGGAAGUUUCCGAAUCCACACUGCCGAGAAAAGCCGCUAUUGCGUUAUGUGUACCCGUACCGUAAACCGACACAGGUAGAUGAGGAGAAAAUCCACAGGCCGACGGGAGAAGUGUUGUUAAGGAACUCGGCAAAAUGACCCCGUAACUUCGGGAUAAGGGGAGCCUCGCAAGAGGCCGCAGAAAAGAGGCACAAGCAACUGUUUAGCAAAAACAUAGGUCUAUGCGAAACCGUAAGGUGAAGUAUAUGGGCUGACGCCUGCCCGGUGCUGGAAGGUUAAAAGGAGAGGUCAGCGCAAGCGAAGCUUUGAAUUCAAGCCCCAGUAAACGGCGGCCGUAACUAUAACGGUCCUAAGGUAGCGAAAUUCCUUGUCAGGUAAGUUCUGACCCGC